AUGAAUUACAUCUCUCGUAGAAGGCCUAUCGAGUAAAUAGAACUCAGCCUAAUUGAUUUGAAGAGGGAAUAUGUAUAGGUCGACUUGGGAAAAAAAAAAGCAAGAAGCCACAAAAUCGAAAUGUAAUCCGACGGUCUCUAAUUGGUAGAUAGUACAUUCUUAAUAAUGUUACAGCAAUUUCUGGUAACUAAAUCUGACGAUAGAGGUAUGACAAAUCGUAAUCGGACGGUGACGGAGAUUCCAAUGUCAAGGGAGAUCGUUACCUUUCAGAAAAGGACAUUGUUUCACUUACUUCAAGAAGUCAUUGGAAUCCCACCAUGCUCUGUCUGAUCUGGUAAAACACGUAAUUAUCAAUUAAAAAAAACAAACUUGUCUGUUUCUUUUUGAAAUUUAAGUAGUAUUGUUAAUGGUAUAUCAUUCUCCAUGAAAAGCUACGGUGUUCACACGCGUGUGGAAAUCUGGUGUGAUGCAGAUUCGAAUUCGGAUAUUUUAAAGAUUCACGGAACAUCUUGACCAUCCGACCACAGACGCAUGGUUAACUUUAAGUUUAAAGUAAUGUUUUUUAUUGAAACAAAUUAAGUAUUGUUGUUAAAGUUGACAAAAAUAUAAAAUUGUUAAAAAAUAGAAAUUUAUACCUAAACACAUUUUAUCAUGUCAAUUACACUAACAAAGUGUAUUCAAGUCAAAAUUUAAGAUGAUUUGCUAUUAUUCCAAUAUGAACUUUAAAAUACCAUUUAACUUCAAUGUUGAUUGAACAUACUAGAAAUGAUGUUUUUCAUUGAGGUUGAACCAACUCUCACGCGGACUGCUCUUCAUUCAGGGAAGCCACAAAGUAUUUGUAAAUCCAAUAUUAUUGAAUUUUUUUUAAUUGUAGAUUUUCAAGUGUUUUUGGUGUUUCUAGAAUGUUUUGGUGGAUAUUCAUUGUUAAAAAUAAUCAAAUCAUAUAAUUUCAUAUGAGAUUCCAAAGCAUUUUUAAACUCAUACUAAAAUUUCAAUUUUAUCUAAAAUCAUCUUAAAACUCAUUAAAAAUCAAUCACUUUGAAUUCUUCAAAUUCAAAUUCAUCUUAAAACCCAUUAAAAUACAAAUUAUACUUGUAAGAUACUUUUUAAGAUUGAUUAGCCUAUAUUCCUUCUAACUAAGUGACAAAAUAUUACAAAGUAAAUAAAUAAUAAAUAAUAACAUGUGCUAUAAAUAGUUACCAUUUAUUCCAUUUUUUUUGCUUCACUGAUAAAGAUGAAUUACAUCUCUCGUAGAAGGCCUAUCGAGUAAAUAGAACUCAGCCUAAUUGAUUUGAAGAGGGAAUAUGUAUAGGUCGACUUGGGAAAAAAAAAAGCAAGAAGGAGGAGACCUUAGACCAAGAAAAGACAUUCACAAACACUGCUUUCCGGCGCAAGAACUAGAUUUUCACCUUUUCUUGUUCUUGUCGAAUUCAUUAAGUUUUUUAUGAUUCCAAUGUCUUUUCUUGUAAUUGAUUUAUUGUAUUUUUACCUUUUUUAACAAUCAUUUUCAUUAUAUUUGUGUUCAUUUAGAUUGUAUUUAAGAGUCUAUAUUGCAUUUUCAUAUGAAUUUAUGUUAUUUCAGGUUUUUGAGAGACCAUAUGCAGUUUGAAGCGGUUCUGUCGAUUUUGGAGAGGAUUAAGCCAUAAAAGUUCAACAAACAGCUUGGCUGAAGGUCUUAAAGAUAUAUUUCGAAGCUUAUAUUUAGCCACAAUAUAUAAAAUUGACUCAUCUUUCAGAUGGAAGUGGUCUCAAUCAAUUGAAGCUAUAUUCUAAGAGAUGUGGCCAAAUUACUGAAUUUAUGCUGCAAAGAAUGAAUGACCGCAGACAGAAAUCACAGACCGAACCCAUCCAUGAAAUCAAGGCAGGACGACUUUUGGAGAAGUAUCUCACCGCAGACGAAGCCCGUUUGUGGUCUACAUCAAUAGUAGUUUUUUAUCUAUUUUCUUUUGGGUUGACUCAAGCUUGUUGGGUUGACCGGAUUUAUUUUAAGGCCUAUAGAAGAGCAUUUUAGGGGGAAAUAAACCCUAAGUUACCUGAGCAUAGUUGCUCCUUAGUUUUGUCUUAAUAUUAAACCUUAAACUUGUGAAUCUUGCUUUUGUUUAAGAAUUUCUUUUGUUUAUCUUGUUUACAUCUCUCUGAACUCUUUAUUAUGCAUUUAUUUAUCAUGAGUUUGUGUGAUUUAAUGAAUGUUAGUGAGUA
rnacentral:lncRNA from 1 species